UACGGAGGGUGCGAGCGUUGUCCGGAUUCACUGGGCGUAAAGGGUGCGUAGGCGGAUUUUUAAGUCAGUGGUGAAAUCUCCGGGCUCAACCCGGAAACUGCCAUUGAUACUAUUAGUCUUGAAUUCUGUUGAGGUGGGCGGAAUACAUCAUGUAGCGGUGAAAUGCUUAGAUAUGAUGUAGAACACCGAUUGCGAAGGCAGCUCACUAAGCAGCGAUUGACGCUGAGGCACGAAAGCGUGGGGAUCAAACAGG
rnacentral:rRNA from 1 species